rnacentral:rRNA from 1 species
AACGAACGCUGGCGGCAGGCUUAACACAUGCAAGUCGAACGCCCCGCAAGGGAGUGGCAGACGGGUGAGUAACGCGUGGGAACAUACCCUUUCCUGCGGAAUAGCUCCGGGAAACUGGAAUUAAUACCGCAUACGCCCUACGGGGGAAAGAUUUAUCGGGGAAGGAUUGGCCCGCGUUGGAUUAGCUAGUUGGUGGGGUAAAGGCCUACCAAGGCGACGAUCCAUAGCUGGUCUGAGAGGAUGAUCAGCCACAUUGGGACUGAGACACGGCCCAAACUCCUACGGGAGGCAGCAGUGGGGAAUAUUGGACAAUGGGCGCAAGCCUGAUCCAGCCAUGCCGCGUGAGUGAUGAAGGCCUUAGGGUUGUAAAGCUCUUUCACCGAUGAAGAUAAUGACGGUAGUCGGAGAAGAAGCCCCGGCUAACUUCGUGCCAGCAGCCGCGGUAAUACGAAGGGGGCUAGCGUUGUUCGGAAUUACUGGGCGUAAAGCGCACGUAGGCGGAUAUUUAAGUCAGGGGUGAAAUCCCGCAGCUCAACUGCGGAACUGCCUUUGAUACUGGGUAUCUUGAGUAUGGAAGAGGUAAGUGGAAUUCCGAGUGUAGAGGUGAAAUUCGUAGAUAUUCGGAGGAACACCAGUGGCGAAGGCGGCUUACUGGUCCAUUACUGACGCUGAGGUGCGAAAGCGUGGGAGCAAACAGGAUUA